GUAAGAUAGAAGCGCAGACUGUAUGCAGUUGGUUAGCAAGUCGAACGUUGUCAGCAGUAUCGAAGCAUUUUAGCGUUGAGCCUGGUGAAAGUUUCUUGUUCUACCCUCUGUAACUCGGGUAUUUCCCCGGCUUUAAUUUCGCUAAAUCGAGGACUUCGAUCAUGGCAACUGGUACCGUAAAGUGGUUUAACGACACUAAAGGCUUCGGCUUUAUUUCUCCUGAAGUUAGCGGCGACGAUUUGUUUGCACACUUCUCUGAAAUUCAAGCAGAUGGCUUUAAAUCCCUGCAAGACGGUCAGAAGGUUUCUUUUGACGUUACCCAGGGCCAAAAAGGCCUUCAAGCUUCUAAUAUCAAGGUUAUGGAAUAAACUCCAUAUUGUGAUAUUAGCUACCGACUAGAUCGGUAAGCUUAAAACCCCGCCAAGAGCGGGGUUUUUGCG
rfam:Halomonas sp. &apos;Soap Lake #7&apos;, complete genome.